CUUUCUUUACCUUCACUUUGGCUGGCUUAGCCUUCUCCUUCACAGGUUCUGCUUUAGCCUUCUCCUUCACAGGUUCUGGCUUAGCUUUCUCCUUUACAGCUUCUGGCUUAGCCUUCUCCUUUACAGCUUCUGGCUUACCCUUCUUUACAGCUUCUGGCUUAGUCUUCUUUACAGGGGUGGGUUCUGCUUUAGCCUUCUCCUUUGCAGGUUCUGGCUUAGCUUUCUCCUUUACAGCUUCUUGCUUAGCUUUUUCCUUUACAGCUUCUUGCUUAGCUUUCUCCUUUGCAGGUUCUGGCUUAGCUUUCUCCUUCACAGGUUCUGGUUUAGCUUUCUCCUUUACAGGGACGGGUUCUGCUUUAGCCUUCUCCUUCACAGGUUCUGCUUUAGCCUUCUCCUUCACAGGUUCUGCUUUAGCCUUCUCCUUCACAGGUUCUGCUUUAGCCUUCUCCUUUGCAGGGUCUGGUUUAGCUUCAUCCUUUACAGGUGCAGGUUCUGGCUUAGCCUUCCUUAUAGGGGUGGGUUCUGCUUUAGCCUUCUCCUUUGCAGGGUCUGGCUUAGUCUUCUUUACAGGGGUGGGUUCUGCUUUAGCCUUCUCCUUUGCAGGUUCUGCUUUAGCCUUCUCCUUCACAGGUUCUGCUUUAGCCUUCUCCUUUGCAGGGUCUGGCUUAGUCUUCUUUACAGGGGUGGGUUCUGCUUUAGCCUUCUCCUUUGCAGGUUCUGCUUUAGCCUUCUCCUUCACAGCUUCUGCUUUAGCCUUCUCCUUUGCAGGGUCUGGCUUAGUCUUCUUUACAGGGGUGGGUUCUGCUUUAGCCUUCUCCUUUGCAGGUUCUGCUUUAGCCUUCUCCUUCACAGCUUCUGGCUUAGUCUUCUUUACAGGGGUGGGUUCUGCUUUAGCCUUCUCCUUUGCAGGGUCUGGUUUAGCUUCAUCCUUUACAGGUGCAGGUUCUGGCUUAGCCUUCCUUACAGGGGUGGGUUCUGCUUUAGCCUUCUCCUUUGCAGGUUCUGGUUUAGCUUCAUCCUUUACAGGUGCAGGUUCUGGCUUAGCCUUCCUUACAGGGGUGGGUUCUGCUUUAGCCUUCUCCUUCACAGCUUCUGGCUUAGUCUUCUUUACAGGGGUGGGUUCUGCUUUAGCCUUCUCCUUUGCAGGUUCUGGUUUAGCUUCAUCCUUUACAGGUGCAGGUUCUGGCUUAGCCUUCCUUACAGGGGUGGGUUCUGCUUUAGCCUUCUCCUUUGCAGGUUCUGGCCUAGCCUUCUCUUUUACAGAUUCUGGACUAGCUUUCUCCUUCACAGGUUCUGCUUUAGCCUUCUCCUUCACAGGGGUGGGUUCUAGCUUAGCAUUCUCCUUCACAGGUACAGGCUUAGCCUUUUCUUUCAAAGGUGCAGCCUUGUCUUCCUCCUUCACAGGUACAGGCUUAGCCUUUUCUUUCAAAGGUGCAGCCUUGUCUUCCUCCUUCACAGGUACAGGCUUAGCUUUUUCUUUCAAAGGUGCAGCCUUGUCUUCCUCCUUCACAGGAACAGGCUUAGCUUUUUCUUUAGUUGGUUCUGGUCUAGCUUUCGCUUUAGGGAGCUCUGGCUUAACUUUCUCCUUAGCAGGCUCUGGCUUGGCUUUUUCCUUUACAGGCUCAGGCUUUGCUUUCUCCUUCAUGGUUUCUGGUUUAGCUUUUUCCUUAACAGCUUCUGGCUUUACCUUCUCUUUAGCAGGUUCUUUUUUAGCUUUGUCCUUCACAGGUUCUGCCUCAGCUUUCUCCUUCAUGGGUACUGGCUUAGCUUUUUCUUUUGCAGGUGCAGGUUCUGGUUUAGUCUUCUCUACUGCUGGUUCUGGCUCAGUUUUCUCCUUCAGAGCUUCUUUCUUAGCCUUUUCUUUCAGGGUCUUCAUUUUCUCCUUCACUGGUUCUGGCUUAACCUCCUCCCUUGUGGGCACUGGCUUUGCAGUUUCUUUUACAGUUAUUUUCUUAGCGGUUUCCUUUCCAGGUUCAAGCUUAAGUUCUUCCUUUUUGGGCUUAGGCUCAGCUUUCUCCUUCACAGGUUCUGGUGUAGCCUUCUCUUUUACAAGUUCUUCCUUAGCUCUCUCCUUUUUGGGCUCUGGCUUUGCCUUCUCUGCAAUGGGCUUUGGUUUGGCCUUGUCCUUAGGAGAUUCUGGCCUAGGUUUCUCCUCCUUGAAUUCUACCAUAGCUUCUUCCUUAUCGGUAGUAGGUUCUGGUUUAGCCUUCUCCUUUACGGAUUCUAGCUUGGCUUUCUGCUUUUCUGGUUCUGGCUUAGUCUUCUCCGUAAUGGGUUCUUGCUUAGGUUUCUCUUUUUCAGAUUUUGGCUUAGCUUUUUCCUUUACCGAUGCAGGCUCUGGCUUAGCUUUUACCUUUACCGAUGCAGGCUCUGGCUUAGCUUGCACCUUUACCGAUGCAGGCUCUGGCUUAGGUUCUUCUUUUACAGAUGCAGGCUCUGGCUUAGCUUUUUCCUUUACCGAUGCAGGCUCUGGCUUAGCUUGCACCUUUACCGAUGCAGGCUCUGGCUUAGCUUUUUCCUUUACCGAUGCAGGCUCUGGCUUAGCUUUUUCCUUUACCGAUGCAGGCUCUGGCUUAGCUUGCACCUUUACCGAUGCAGGCUCUGGCUUAGCUUUUUCCUUUACCGAUGCAGGCUUAGGUUCUUCUUUUACAGGUUCUGGUUUAUCUUUUUCCUUCACAGGUACAGGUGGAGGUGCAGGUUCUGAAUU
ensembl:lncRNA